rnacentral:rRNA from 1 species
AGUGAACGCUGGCGGUAGGCCUAACACAUGCAAGUCGAACGGCAGCACAGUAAGAGCUUGCUCUUACGGGUGGCGAGUGGCAGACGGGUGAGGAAUACAUCGGAAUCUACUUUUUCGUGGGGGAUAACGUCGGGAAACUUACGCUAAUACCGCAUACGACCUACGGGUGAAAGCAGGGGAUCUUCGGACCUUGCGCGAUUGAAUGAGCCGAUGUCGGAUUAUCUAGUUGGCGGGGUAAAGGCCCGCCAAGGCGACGCUCCGUAGCUGGUCUGAGAGGAUGAUCAGCCACACUGGAACUGAGACACGGUCCAGACUCCUACGGGAGGCAGCAGUGGGGAAUAUUGGAGAAUGGGCGGAAGCCUGAUGCAGCCAUACCGCGUGGGGGAAGAAGGCCUUCGGGUUGUAAAGCCCUUUUGUUGGGAAAGAAAAGCAGCAGGUUAGUAUCCCGCUGUUCUGACGGUACCCAAAGAAUAAGCACCGGCUAACUUCGUG